rnacentral:rRNA from 1 species
GACGAACGCUGGCGGCGUGCCUAAUACAUGCAAGUAGAACGCUGAAGGAGGAGCUUGCUUCUCCGGAUGAGUUGCGAACGGGUGAGUAACGCGUAGGUAACCUGCCUGGUAGCGGGGGAUAACUAUUGGAAACGAUAGCUAAUACCGCAUAAGAGUAGAUGUUGCAUGACAUUUGCUUAAAAGGUGCAAUUGCAUCACUACCAGAUGGACCUGCGUUGUAUUAGCUAGUUGGUGGGGUAACGGCUCACCAAGGCGACGAUACAUAGCCGACCUGAGAGGGUGAUCGGCCACACUGGGACUGAGACACGGCCCAGACUCCUACGGGAGGCAGCAGUAGGGAAUCUUCGGCAAUGGACGGAAGUCUGACCGAGCAACGCCGCGUGAGUGAAGAAGGUUUUCGGAUCGUAAAGCUCUGUUGUAAGAGAAGAACGAGUGUGAGAGUGGAAAGUUCACACUGUGACGGUAUCUU